rnacentral:rRNA from 1 species
CUUGCAAUAAAAUAUUGGGUAGGCUCUGCUCCAUGUUUUUAUAUAGCCGCAGUAUUUUGACUGUGCUAAGGUAGCAUAGUAAUUUGUCUUUUAAUUGGGGGCUGGAAUGAAAGAGUUGACGAUGCUUUUGCUUUUUUAGCUUGGGCGUGGAAUUUGAUAUUUGCCUUAAAAAGUGCAACUUCCUAAGGGGACGAUAAGACCCUAUAAAACUUUUAAUUUAAGUAACUUUGAACUAUUUAGGAGAUUUUAUUUUUUAUUAAAUUAGGCUGGGGCGGCAGCUAAGAGCCAUUAGUAGAUGUCACAGGGGCACCUGAGUUUAGAGAUCUCGCUAAGAAGUGGAGUAAGUUACUUUAGGGAUAACAGCACAAUUUUUUUGUAUAGGCCUUAUAGAAUAAAAAGACUUGUGACCUCGAUGUUGAAUUGGGGGGCCCCACUAGAGUAGAAAUUAGUAGGGGGGGUCUGUUCGACCUUUAUUUCCCC